UGUUAACCUUCCUUCCCGCAGACACUCACCGGGAGGCAGGGGUCCCAGGAAAUCCCUUUAGGGACUCCGCAGUGACAGCACACAAGGCUCUUUGUGACCUAGCGACAGCGCCCAGCACCGUCCUGUCCCCAGGGCUGACAGGUAAUGGGUCAUCAGGAGGACGAUGUGAAAACCUCCCACCGGCUUGGGCCGCAUCCGCAUCCAAUGCCAUUUCUUUGUUCCUUCUUUGGACAGGAGGUCUUGGGCUGUUGAGGGGACUCAAACCCUUUGUCCCCAAGGGAAAGCCAUCCUUCGGCCUGCAUAACCCAAAUGUCCGAGUGUCUUAGGACACAGAUUAUGCACGUAGUCCCUAAGCCACAUGCGUGCGGGAGGGUGCCUGCUGUCCCGCUCAUCAGCGGAGCAAACCGCACGGUCCCCCUUCACUAGUGCUUUGUCUGCUGUUGUUUCCCCAGCCUGAAAAUACGCCCACGCUUAGACGCCAAGGGGUCCGGGCCAGGCAGGGAAUAACUCAUUCUUGUACCCCAAAGCCACGCUAAUCCGAAACAUGACUUGUUUUUCAACAUCUAUUUCUCAUUGUCAGGAAUCCCUGUGCGUCUGGAAGCGAGACUGUCUCAGGAGGGAGCGCAGAUGCUCCAGGUGGAACCCAGAGCCACCCUCGGAAGUGACGACACAGGAAACGGGCAGGCAAGGGGACCGUGCCCUGCCCAGGGGCGGGCAGCACCCACAGACCCAGCAGCGCCUGGGUCUCUACCUGGCUUUCCGCAUCCGAUAGCCUCCACAAGGCCCCAAUGAAUGCUGAGCAGCUUUUGCGUGGCUGGUAUCUGGAACACACUGGACCUUGUGGCUGAUGUUGUUUGAGCGACCUUGUCUCCAACAAUCAUGCUAAAUUUCUUGAUAACCUGGAAGUGGAUUUUUUUGGUCCAGUACUGUGGCCAAGAGAACAUCACCUCCCCAGCCCUGGGCGCACAGACAGGGACCUGGGCCAACAGCACAACGGAAGCAUAGGUUCCUGACACAGGUGGGUGCUGGGCAGGUAGAGACUAUGGGUGACUUUCAGCUCAGUUUGCAGCUGCCUGCGCCUCCCUGAGACAAAACCACCAGAGGUGGACAUACAGGCCCUGCAGGUGCCUGCAGGACUCUGGCUGUCGGAAGCCAGACAAAGGGCCCAGGCCAGGCGCUCCAGAGCUCCUCAGCUGCCCAUCCGCAUCGCCGUGACCGCCAUCCUCUCCGCCGUCUCCUGAGGCGCCGCAGCGAUGCCGGCACCUGCACCAGGGAGCAGCCGUGAGGCCUGAGUGAUGACACAGGGCCACACCCACAGGCGUGCAGGGCACAAUGCUGGCUGUUACUGUGAUGCACGCCUGCGUGUUUCCCAGGCUCAUGAGACCCAGAAAUCCUGCCCUGAUGAACAUCGUGUGAGACUAAUGCUUCCUGGAAUGUAUUUUUGAAAAAUCUGAACAAUGGGAAAACUAAUGGAGUUCGGAGUUGAACUCUAGAUCUUUGGGCGGCUUCCUGCCAUUUUUGGUGUGGGUGGUAUAUUUCAUUAAGCAAAUUUUUUUGUUUUUGGAAAGAAUGCAUGGGUGGUAAAAUACUUCUUUUGUUCUCAAAGUUAAACUGAGUUUGGCUGAGCUUACAACAAGUCUAAAAUUCUUUCUCUCCAAAUCCCUACAUUCACUGCCUUUUAAAUUUAGUGUCACGUAAAGGCUUCAGUGUCAAUCUGAUUCUCUUCUCUCUGUAAGUCACCCUGCCCCCUACAGGGACUGUAGUAUUUUCCUCUACGUGGAACUGAAAGCACAGACGGUUUGCAUGUCUGGGGUCUGGGUCUGCUGCCCCUGGGGUGUGGUUGGGGAACUGUCCUGUGUUAUCCAUCCGGCUGCUGCCCUCCCCAUGCACUUUGCGUAGUCAGCUGUUCCCGUGUUAACGCUGUGUGACAAGCCAGCCCAAACGCCACAGCUGUGGCACGAGCAUGCAUGACCCUGCUCACAGUCAGCGUGGCCUCCAGCUGCAGGGCCGUGUCAGAGGAGGCUCUGCCCACGUGCCCCUCCUGUGACCAGCUGCUGUGGCACAUCGUCCUCAUGGCGACGGAUGGUGUCCAGAGCAGAGCAAGUCUCAUGGGCAAAAUCAGCACCAGUGGGGAGGCAAACAUGCUUUGUCUCGUGGCGGACAGUCCAAAGUCAC